rnacentral:tRNA from 1 species
CGCCCUUGUAGCUUAUGUUGGCAGAGCAACUGGAAACAGUGGGAAUCGGUUCGACUCCGGUCAGGGUUA